UAAAUAGCCCAGUUCACUUUUGUGGACUGCCGGCUUCUUAGAGGGACUUUUGGCUCAAGCCAAUGGAAGUACGAGGCAAUAACAGGUCUGUGAUGCCCUUAGAUGUUCUGGGCCGCACGCGCGCUACACUGACAGAGCCAGCGAGUACAUCACCUUGGCCGAAAGGCCUG
rnacentral:rRNA from 1 species